AGUGAAAGCACCCGUCGUGCGUUUCACCCUGCAAGUGCUAAAGGUAGUACUGAAAACCCCAGUACUGUCUUUAGCACCCCCGAUGAUCCCGGCUGCACUUGCUUUCACUUUUGCCUUGUAACCUCCCUUCUAUGGAAUUAAGCUCCUGACUUUCAGUUCCAAUAGUUGCAGAGAUGAUACGCUGUACUCUUUUCCUAUUGAUAUCUCUGGAUCCAAUCUGCCGAAUAGAAGAAAACAUUUACUCGACGCUCACUAUAACCGAAGAGAUCUAGGCUGUAGUGAAAACUCAAGGAUUCCCGAACCCUGUAGAUAAAAUACAACAUAUACAUGCUGCGGGAUAAUGGUGAGUGUCCCCACUGGGGUGAGCCACCAAAGUCUUUUGACACAUGGAGUAUUACUUGUAAAUUAUCCUGCUGGUGAGAAGCAGUGGCUGGUGAGAAGCACCUGCUCCUGCUAUACAGGGCCAGAUGUGACACCAAGCCAACCUGACUUCAAACUAUGACUAAACUGUAGGUAGUUUUCGACCCAUUUUGGCCAACUCUAAUCGAGAAACAUCAACACUGGAGGAGGAGUGGAGGCAUUGCCGGGAGAGGCUUAGGAGGCCCCUCACAUGCGACUUGACACAGAAAGCUACAGUCAAUCCUACGUUUGGCCUACCAGGGUUGAGUUCGACCCCAACAGACUGGCCACAGAAGUGGAAGACAGCAAAAUACAAGAGCCUUCUGCAUUUUCUCAGAUGGAAAGAACAUGGACUCAAAGAGUCACCGAGUUCACGGCAAGGAGGUGCUGGCUAUUAUGCAGGCCUGGGGCUGGAGGGGUACUCCAACUUGGUAUUGCUGUGCAACCGACAUCAGCGGACUGUGCACUCCCUUGUGACAUAUGCCCAGUCAGGGCAUUGGAUAACUGUCGUUUCUUACCUAUGAGCUAAUCUGCCCUGUGGAAACAGAGCCACUGUUCUUCACAAAGCUGAGGAUCUCUGCAGAUCACUCCACUGAUGGUUCCAGUCUAAGCGGCAUAUAAGCAGCAUUACUGAACAAUCUAUUCUGUUAUAUUUUAAUUUUAAUUGUGUGGUCAGUUAGUUUUGCUUGCAUUUUAAGUUAUUAUUUAGUUCCUUCAUUGACAUACACUUACCUAACCUGUUAUGCAUUAGUCUACAACACCAUAAAAUGUGCAUUGGUAGUUCAGCAUGUGCCCUGGCGACUGGUAACUUAUCCUACUGUAUGCCUGUUAUUGUGCGUCUUUGGUCCCAUUUUUUUUUUCCAAGUCUUGUUUUUGAAAAGCGAAUGUUACCUAUACUGUCUGUAACUGCUCAACCAAAAAUAAAUUUUGUAAAAAUAAAU